UGCAACAACAGUAGUUCUGAUAACACUCAUGUCCCAUCCUUUCCCCUGUAGCUUGCGGCGCUUGCGGCGCUUGCGGCUGGAGCAGUAAGGGGUCUUUCAACCACCCUCUAUCAGCCACCCUAUGACAGCCUAUCUACCCCUUUAUACUACACCCAACAAUCCCUUCAAAUUUCCUUAGUGCACAAGAAUUUGAAGAAAGAAAGAGAGAGCAGAAGAAUUUGCUGCUGCUACCAGACUUCAAGGGAGGGUAAGCUUUGGCUUUAACUCCCCAUUCCAUUCUUAAUCAACCUGCAUUUAUUAAGAUGAACCCACAAUUCUUUUCAGCUUCUUCCCCAAUGAAUUCAACAGCAACAACAGAAGGCCAACCAUGCACCAAACAUUCGCAAAGCAUUCAAGGUAUUCAUUGAGCUCCAUAUACUACUUUCCCAUCAUACAUGCUCUACACUUAAGCUUGAUAAACAAACUACUAUGGCUAGUUUUAACCACUGCAUAAUCAAAUUAUAGAAAUGCUAGAGCUCAAUAGAAUUAUGAACUGGGUUACAACAAACUUUGAGUUUCGUUCACAAUAGAGUAUUAAGAAUGAACUUAGCUUUCAUUAAGGAGGGGAGGCUGCCCUGUUUCGCCGAACCGAGGAACAUUGGCGGAGGCAGAGCUCUGCUGCUCGUCGGGCGAGAUCAGGGGAGAACCCGGCGACGACGACGGUGAGGCUCUCGCCAGUUCACAGAGCGGCAGCGGAGGUUACCACGUCGAUUCGUCAGGCAGGAGUUAGGGCUCCGAUUCCAAAUCUAGAUUGAACAUGUGUACGUCUGCCUUGGGUGGAGAAAAGAGGAAGCAGAGCCAUGGGGCGACAAACAUCGCCGGAUUUAGGAACAGAUGCGGCAUCGCGGGAGAAGAUGCCGGCCGUUCUCCGGCUUCCGGAUUCAGACGGCGGCGAUUUCAAUUCAGGAGGAAAAUUAGGACUUUCUUUUCUUUCCUUUUCAGUCGAUUGAGGGCGGAAAUUGGGAGGAGAAAUGGAAGGAUGGCC
rnacentral:lncRNA from 1 species